rnacentral:rRNA from 1 species
UGAGGAAUAUUGGACAAUGGGCGCAAGCCUGAUCCAGCCAUGCCGCGUGCAGGAUGACGGUCCUAUGGAUUGUAAACUGCUUUUAUACGAGAAGAAACACCUCUACGUGUAGAGACUUGACGGUAUCGUAAGAAUAAGGAUCGGCUAACUCCGUG